UACGUAGGUGGCAAGCGUUGUCCGGAUUUACUGGGCGUAAAGAGCGCGCAGGCGGUCGUAUAAGUCGAAUGUGUAAGCCCCCGGCUCAACUGGGGAGGGUCAUUCGAUACUGUUCGACUCGAAGGCAGGAGAGGGAAGUGGAAUUCCGGGUGUAGUGGUGAAAUGCGUAGAUAUCCGGAGGAACACCAGUGGCGAAGGCGACUUUCUGGCCUGUUCUUGACGCUGAGGCGCGAAAGCUAGGGGAGCAAACGGG
rnacentral:rRNA from 1 species